rnacentral:rRNA from 1 species
CGCAGCGACGCCGCGUGCGGGAAGAAGGCCUUCGGGUUGUAAACCGCUUUCAGGAGGGACGAAGCCACUCGGGUGAACAGCCCAGAGGGUGACGGUACCUCCAGAAGAAGCCCCGGCUAACUACGUGCCAGCAGCCGCGGUAAUACGUAGGGGGCUAGCGUUGUCCGGAUUCAUUGGGCGUAAAGCGCGUGUAGGCGGCCAGAUAGGUCUGCUGUGAAAACUCGAGGCUCAACCUCGAGCCGUCGGCGGAAACCAUCUGGCUAGAGUCCGGAAGAGGAGAGUGGAAUUCCCGGUGUAGCGGUGAAAUGCGCAGAUAUCGGGAAGAACACCUGUGGCGAAGGCGGCUCUCUGGGACGGUACUGACGCUGAGACGCGAAAGCGUGGGGAGCAAACAGGAUUAGAUACCCUGGUAGUCCACGCCGUAAACGAUGGGUGCUAGGUGUGGGGAGUGUCGACUCUCUCCGUGCCGAAGCUAACGCAUUAAGCACCCCGCCUGGGGAGUACGGCCGCAAGGCUA